rnacentral:rRNA from 1 species
UACGGGGGGGGCAAGGCGUUGUUCGGAAUUACAUGGGCUUAAAGGGUGCGUAGGCGGACUUCUAAGUGUCGCGUGAAAGCCCACGGCUUAACCGUGGAACCGCGCGGCAAACUGGGAGUCUUGAGGAACGUAUAGGCGGGUGGGAACGGAUAGGUGGAGCGGUGGAAUGCGUAGAUAUCUAUCGGAACGCCGAAGGUGAAGA